rnacentral:rRNA from 1 species
CAGCAGUAGGGAAUCUUCCACAAUGGGCGCAAGCCUGAUGGAGCAACACCGCGUGAGUGAAGAAGGGUUUCGGCUCGUAAAGCUCUGUUGUUGGAGAAGAACGUGCGUGAGAGUAACUGUUCACGCAGUGACGGUAUCCAACCAGAAAGUCACGGCUAACUACGUGCC